rnacentral:tRNA from 1 species
UUAAUUGAAACCAAUGUUUGAGGUUAAUCACUGUUAAUGAUUAUAAAGAAUUUUAUAAAAUUCCAAUUAAA